rnacentral:rRNA from 1 species
UACAGAGGGGGCAAGCGUUGUUCGGAAUUACUGGGCGUAAGGGCGCGUAGGUGGCCUUCUAAGUUGAACGUGAAAUCCCUGGGCUCAACCCAGGAACUGCGUCCAAGACUGGGAGGCUUGAAUCCGGGAGAGGGAUGCGGAAUUCCAGGUGUAGCGGUGAAAUGCGUAGAUAUCUGGAGGAACACCGGUGGCGAAGGCGGCAUCCUGGACCGGUAUUGACACUGAGGCGCGAAAGCCAGGGGAGCAAACAGG